UACGGAAGGCAGCAGUAGGGAAUCUUCCGCAAUGGACGAAAGUCUGACGGAGCAACGCCGCGUGAACGAUGAAGGCUUUCGGGUCGUAAAGUUCUGUUGUUAGGGAAGAACAAGUACCGGAGUAACUGCCGGUACCUUGACGGUACCUAACCAGAAAGCCACGGCUAACUACGUGCCAGCAGCCGCGGUAAUACGUAGGUGGCAAGCGUUGUCCGGAAUUAUUGGGCGUAAAGCGCGCGCAGGCGGUCCUUUAAGUCUGAUGUGAAAGCCCACGGCUCAACCGUGGAGGGUCAUUGGAAACUGGGGGACUUGAGUGCAGAAGAGGAGAGUGGAAUUUUCACGUGUAGCGGUGAAAUGCGUAGAGAUGUGGAGGAACACCAGUGGCGAAGGCGACUCUCUGGUCUGUAACUGACGCUGAGGCGCGAAAGCGUGGGGAGCGAACAGGGAUUAGAUACC
rnacentral:rRNA from 1 species